UACAGAGGGUGCAAGCGUUAAUCGGAAUUACUGGGCGUAAAGCGUGCGCAGACGGUUGCGUAAGUCAGAUGUGAAAGCCCCGGGCUCAACCUGGGAAUUGCAUUUGAGACUGCGUAGCUAGGGUGCGGAAGAGGGAAGCGGAAUUUCCGGUGUAGCGGUGAAAUGCGUAGAUAUCGGAGGGAACACCAGUGGCGAAAGCGGCUUCCUGGUCCAGC
rnacentral:rRNA from 1 species